rnacentral:rRNA from 1 species
GACGAACGCUGGCGGCGUGCUUAACACAUGCAAGUCGAGCGGUAAGGCCCUUUCGGGGGUACACGAGCGGCGAACGGGUGAGUAACACGUGGGUGACCUGCCCUCAGCUCUGGGAUAAGCCUGGGAAACCGGGUCUAAUACUGGAUAUGACUCCAUGACGCAUGUUGUGGGGUGGAAAGCCUUGUGCGGCUGAGGAUGGGCCUGCGGCCUAUCAGCUUGUUGGUGGGGUGAUGGCCUACCAAGGCGACGACGGGUAGCCGGCCCGAGAGGGCGACCGGCCACACUGGGACUGAGACACGGCCCAGACUCCUACGGGAGGCAGCAGUGGGGAAUCUUGCGCAAUGGGCGAAAGCCUGACGCAGCGACGCCGCGUGAGGGAUGACGGCCUGG